GUAGGAAUUGCUUAUUAUUCCAGAGCACCUGAGAUCGCCCCUGAUUUUUUGUGGGUUUCAUGUUUCUUAGUCUUUAGUUAUAAGUGUAGUGUGUUGUAUACUGAUGUUAGUCUUUAGUUUAUGUGUAAUGUGUUGUAUAUUGAUGUUUGUCUUUAGUUAUAUGUGUAGUGUGUUGUAUACUGAUGUCUGUCUUUAGUUAUAUGUGUAGUGUGUUGUAUACUGAUGUCUGUCUUUAGUUAUAUGUGUAGUGUGUUGUAUACUGAUGUUUGUCUUUGAUUAUAUGUGUAGUGUGUUGUAUAGUGAUGUUUGUCUUUAGUUAUAUGUGUAGUGUGUUGUAUACUGAUGUUUGUCUUUUUGUUGUUUCUCGUUAUUUUGCCAUGACAUUGUUAGUUGGUUUCAAAUUAUGAGUUUGAAUAUCCAUUAGAUUCAUAUUCAAAACAGUGUGGCUGUGGCCAUUGAUUGACGACCUAAAUUAUCCCAUUGACUGGAACAGA
rnacentral:lncRNA from 1 species